CUCCUACGGGAGGCAGCAGUGAGGAAUAUUGGACAAUGGGCGCAAGCCUGAUCCAGCCAUGCCGCGUGCAGGAUGACGGUCCUAUGGAUUGUAAACUGCUUUUGCACAGGAAGAAACAACAUUACGUGUAAUGUCUUGACGGUACUGUGAGAAUAAGGAUCGGCUAACUCCGUGCCAG
rnacentral:rRNA from 1 species